UGGAUCUCUGCACGCAACAAGACGCUCACCACAACGCCAAGGAGAAGGCCACAAAUUGGUUGUGCUUGCACAUUUAAUGCUGCCGAGAAGCUACACAUAUUUGGCAUUCGCGGCCGAGCCGCUCACCAUCAUGGAGUUGGAUCACACUAGACCUCAAUGGCAUGCUCUGCCAUGUGGCCUCCUUGAUGCUGGUCGUCGAGCACUGAUUCGACUAGACUAUCGCGCACAUAUUGAUCACAUUUGAUAAACAAGCUAUGAUCGUUUGAGAGUACCC